rnacentral:lncRNA from 1 species
GUAAACAAAAUAUGAGCACUGUCUAGUGAAACAUUUCAAAUUAUCAAAAUAAGUUGAAAUACAACUUUUGCAGAAGAUGAACAGAAAGAAAGCUUACGAUCACAAGAUUGUUGAAAAUCACAGAAUCAGCUUCUAUCUUUUGUCCUGCACUGCAAGGGAUGCUGCUUCCACUAUAGCAACCUUUCUUCUGCUGAAUCCCUGUACCCCGAUUUUCUAAAACAAAUGUAGAGUUUGGCUUCCCACUACUGAAGAGCACAGUCCAAAAGAAGGGCCCCUUGUGAACCCCAACC